rnacentral:rRNA from 1 species
CCUACGGGAGGCAGCAGUGGGGAAUAUUGGGCAAUGGGCGCAAGCCUGACCCAGCAACGCCGCGUGAAGGAAGAAGGCUUUCGGGUUGUAAACUUCUUUUGACAGGGAAGAGGAGAAGACGGUACCAGUCGAAUAAGCCAAGGCUAACUACGUGACAGCAGCCGCGGUAAUACGUAGGUGGCAAGCGUUGUCCGGAUUUACUGGGUGUAAAGGGCGUGUAGCCGGGUUGACCAGUCAGAUGGGAAAUCCUGCGGCUUAACCGCAGAACUGCCUUUGAAACUGUUGAUCUUGAGUACUGGAGAGGCAGGCGGCAUUCCUCGUGUAGCGGUGACAUUCGUAGAUCUUAG